CUCCCGAGUGCUUGCACUCAAUUGGAAAGAGGAGUGGCGGACGGGUGAGUAACACGUGGGUAACCUACCCAUCAGAGGGGGAUAACACUUGGAAACAGGUGCUAAUACCGCAUAACAGUUUAUGCCGCAUGGCAUAAGAGUGAAAGGCGCUUUCGGGUGUCGCUGAUGGAUGGACCCGCGGUGCAUUAGCUAGUUGGUGAGGUAACGGCUCACCAAGGCCACGAUGCAUAGCCGACCUGAGAGGGUGAUCGGCCACACUGGGACUGAGACACGGCCCAGACUCCUACGGGAGGCAGCAGUAGGGAAUCUUCGGCAAUGGACGAAAGUCUGACCGAGCAACGCCGCGUGAGUGAAGAAGGUUUUCGGAUCGUAAAACUCUGUUGUUAGAGAAGAACAAGGACGUUAGUAACUGAACGUCCCCUGACGGUAUCUAACCAGAAAGCCACGGCUAACUACGUGCCAGCAGCCGCGGUAAUACGUAGGUGGCAAGCGUUGUCCGGAUUUAUUGGGCGUAAAGCGAGCGCAGGCGGUUUCUUAAGUCUGAUGUGAAAGCCCCCGGCUCAACCGGGGAGGGUCAUUGGAAACUGGGAGACUUGAGUGCAGAAGAGGAGAGUGGAAUUCCUUGGUUAAACCGGG
rnacentral:rRNA from 1 species